GAGUUUGAUCCUGGCUCAGGAUAAACGCUGGCGGCGCACAUAAGACAUGCAAGUCGAACGAACUUAACCAUUAGUUUACUAUUGGAGCGGUUAGUGGCGGACUGGUGAGUAACACGUAAGCAACCUGCCUAUCAGAGGGGAACAACAGUUAGAAAUGACUGCUAAUACCGCAUAUGCCUUAGAUCACAUGGUUCAAAAGGGAAGGAGCAAUCCGCUGAUAGAUGGGCUUGCGUCUGAUUAGCUAGGUUGGUGGGUAACGGCCUACCAAGGCGACGAUCAGUAGCCGAACUGAGAGGUUGAACGGCCACAUUGGGACUGAGAUACGG
rnacentral:rRNA from 1 species